rnacentral:rRNA from 1 species
GGUUUGAUUCUGGCUCAGAUUGGGCGCUGGCGGGAUGCUUUACACAUGCAAGUCGGAGCGGCAGCACGGACUUCGGUCUGGUGGCGAGUGGCGAACGGGUGAGUAAUGUAUCGGAACGUGCCUAGUAGCGGGGGAUAACUACGCGAAAGCGUAGCUAAUACCAUCACCCUUCGGGGAAAAGCGGGGGACCUUCGGGUCUCGCACUAUUAGGCUCCGGCCGAUAUCGGAUUAGCCAGUUGGUAGAUGGCUCACCAAGGCGACGAUCCGUAGCUGGUUUGAGAAGGACGACCAGCCACACUGGGACUGGGACACGGCCCGAACUCCUACGGGAGGCGGCAGUGGAAAUUUUGGACAAUGGGGAAACCUGAUCCAGCCAUCCCGCGUGCGAUAUUGAAGGUCUUCGGGUUGUAAGCACUUUGGCAGGAAAGAAACGGCACGGGAUAAUACCCCGUGCAACUGACGGUACCUGCAGAAUAAGCACCGGCUAACCCAAUUGCCAGCAGCCGCGGUAAUACGUAGGGUGCAAGCGUUAAUCGGAAUUACUGGGCGUAAAGCGUGCGCAGAGCGGUUCGGAAGAAAAGAAUGUGAAAUCCCAGAGUAACUUUGGAACUGCAUUUUUAACUACCGAGCUAGAGAGUGUCAGAGGAGAGUGGAAUUCCGCGUGUAGCAGUGAAAUGCGUAGCGAUAUGCGGAGGAACACCGACCAGCGAGCAGCCUCCUGGGAUAACACUGACGCUCAUGCACGAAAAGCGUGAGGCAAACGGGAUUAGAUACCUGGUAGUCCACGCCUAAACGAUGUCAGCUAGCUGUUGCCGAAGACCUUGGAGCCUUGGUAGCGCAACUAACGUGAAGUUGACCGCCUGGGAAAUACGGUCGCAAGAUUAAAACUCAAAGGAAUUGACGGGGACCCACUGAGCAGUGGAUGAUGUGGACCAAUUCGAUGCAGCGCGAAAAACCUUACCUACCCUUGACAUGUCUGGAAUCCCGAAGAGAUUUGGGAGUGCUCGCAAGAGGCCGGAACACAGGUGCUGCAUGGCUGUCGUCAGCUCGUGUCGUGAGAUGUUGGGUUAAGUCCCGCAACAGGCGCAACCCUUGUCGUGGAUUGCUACGAAGGGCACUCUAAUGAGACUGCCGGUGACAAACCGGAGGGGAAGGUGGGGAUGACGUCAAGUCCUCAUGGCCCUUAUGGGUAGGGCUUCACACGUCAUACAAUGAACGGGACAGAGGAGUCGCCAACCCCGCGAGGAGCCAAUCCCGAAACCCGAUCGUAGUCCGGAUCAUGAUCUGCAACUCGACUGCGUGAUCCGAAUCGCUAGUAAUCGCGGAUCCGGCAUGUCGCGGUGAAUACGUUCCCGGGUCUUGUACACCGCCCACUCACCAUGGGAGUGGGUUUUACCGUAGUUAGCCUAACCGUAAGGAGGGCGAUUACCACGGUAGGAUUCAUGACUGGGGUGAAGUCGUAACAAGGUA